UAGCCCUAACACAACCCGCACCACUCGUCCUCUAGCCCCCCUCUCUCCUACGCACCCACAGCCGCCGCCCUCUCCCUCCCUCAGAUCUCGAUCCGCCGCCGCCCCAAAACCCACCCCCCCUGUCGACGACCCUCACCGUAUACGUGGUGCUGUGGGGCCGAGGCUGGGCCGACCUGAGCGCCCUACUCCUAGCGACCGCCGUCGCCUCCUAGAUCCUAUUCCACGACGCCUCCGGUUACACGGCCGUGUCGCUGGCCGCCGACAUGCUCUUCCUCCUCCUGGUCGUGCUGUACGCGUUGUCCAGGGCCGCGCGCCUCCUCGGCCACCCUACGCCGCCCAUCCCCGACCUGCAGCCGGUGGCCGACGAGCUCGACGCCCUCAUCCGCUCCGUCCUAGCCGGCAUCUCCUCCGCCUUCCGCCGCGUCGCGCAGGGCCAGCUCGGCUCCGGGUGCGUCUUCGCCUGACUCAGCUGCUCAAGGAACCAUGAGCCUUCCUCUCCGGCCCCUUCCGCGCCAUCAUGGACGCCGCCGAGCUCCUCCUCCACAAGAUUCGCUACCAGGGCGACCAUGCCGACAACACCGUGGUGCUGGUGGUGCCCUACGCCUGCUGCGGCACACUCAUCGGCAAAGGAGGCACGCUCAUCAAUGCUGCUGGCUGCUGCUGUGCAUUCCAGCUUCAGUUCUACACUUCUACUAUUUGGAACGGGAGCAUAGCCUAGCCGGAUUUGAUGAUAUCUCUUCUUCAUGUUUCCUCUUUUUUUUGUUUCUACUUUCCAGUUGUUCCAAGUUUGAUGAUGAUAUCUUCUCCCCUUUUUGUUUUGUUCAUCAUCUAGGUCGUUAGCUGAAGCGACAAAGGCUGGAAUCACGGUCUCGCACCACCGAGUCUGCUACAGUUUCAAUGACAGACUGGUUAAGAUCACUGCUUUGAUUCCUUGCGGCGUCGCGCCUCCCGCCUUUGGUGUUGUUCUGGGUCUGCCCGUGCCAGAUUCGUGGCCUCGCAUGUUUAAUGGGGUGCCUUACUGUAGUCUAGAUAAUCAGCACAUGAAUGGACUGUUAAUUAAUCCGUUAAUGUACACAAGGAGUUUGUUUAAUCUAGAAAUUGUACAAAUCUGCAUCAUGCAAACUUACUUCAGGUUGUUACAUAAGGAAGGAGCUCGGGGUUCAGUUCCAAGCAAUAGGGGUUGGGUUGAUUCCUCUAGAAAUAGUCAGAUGAAUCAUUGCUGUAAUUUGUAAAGUUGUCAAGGAAAGUAGUUUAGCCAAAAUAUUUAUUGUGGGCAUUCUGUUAGCUAGUGUGCAUUGCCAAGUACAACUAUUCUACUUUGUAUGGAAUCAUCUCACUAUUCUGAACAUUUGAAACUUGCUAUGUGCAGGGUGACUAGUGAUGGGGCACGCCAAGCAGCAUCAGGGGAAGGGGGUCUCCUGCUCGAGGAGGCGAAGGAGUAGGGGCGCACCCAGCCGGCAGCCCCGUCCUGCUUGAGGGGGAGGGGCAAGAGGUGUCUGCUCCUCUGCUUCCAUUGCGACCGCGGCAGGAGCAACGUUGCUGAUGGUGACGAGUACGUGAUGGUGGCUAGUGUGGUGGACGACCCGACCAAACCAAUGAUUCAAGGCUUCUCCUGCUGCUGCUGCAUGUCUUCAUCAACUUAGUUCUUCUACAGGGAGAGAUAAAUUCUUCACUUGUUCACUGUGUAAUCUGCAGAUUACUUCCAUUAAUCACCUAGUGCUCCUGUUAGUGAGAUUCAUCUAGUAUUUCUUUUUGCAAAGAAUGCAAUGGUCUGGAGUACUUGAUCAUGGCCUGAUGGAACAUGUCGUUACAGCAGCUAGAAGCAAUCCAUUUUGUUAAAUGCAUUCUGGUUAGGAUUUGGUCAUGGCAGCACCUUGCUAUUUUCUUUUCUUUAAAUCUGGUUGCAAGUUUACUA